GACGAACGCUGGCGGCGUGCUUAACACAUGCAAGUCGAACGGAAAGGCCCUGCUUUUGUGGGGUUCUCGAGUGGCGAACGGGUGAGUAACACGUGAGUAACCUGCCCUUGACUUUGGGAUAACUUCAGGAAACUGGGGCUAAUACCGGAUAGGAGCUCCUGCUGCAUGGUGGGGGUUGGAAAGUUUCGGCGGUUGGGGAUGGACUCGCGGCUUAUCAGCUUGUUGGUGGGGUAGUGGCUUACCAAGGCUUUGACGGGUAGCCGGCCUGAGAGGGUGACCGGCCACAUUGGGACUGAGAUACGGCCCAGACUCCUACGGGAGGCAGCAGUGGGGAAUAUUGCCCAAUGGGCGGAAGCCUGAUGCAGCAACGCCGCGUGCGGGAUGACGGCCUUCGGGUUGUAAACCGAUUUCGCCUGUGACGAAGCGUGAGUGACGGUAAUGGGUAAAGAAGCACCGGCUAACUACGUG
rnacentral:rRNA from 1 species